rnacentral:rRNA from 1 species
UAAGACGUAGGGCGCGAGCGUUGUCCGGAUUUAUUGGGCGUAAAGAGCUCGUAGGCGGCUCAUUGCGUCAACCGUGAAAACCUGCCGCUCAACGGUAGGCUUGCGGUUGAUACGGGUGGGCUGGAGUUCGGUAGGGGAGACUGGAAUUCCUGGUGUAGCGGUGAAAUGCGCAGAUAUCAGG